AUUGAACGCUGGCGGCAGGCCUAACACAUGCAAGUCGAGCGAGCGGCGGACGGGUGAGUAAUGUCUGGGAAACUGCCUGAUGGAGGGGGAUAACUACUGGAAACGGUAGCUUAUACCGCAUACCAUCAGAUGUGCCCAGCUGGUGUUAGCUAGUAGGUGGGUUAACGGCUCACCUAGGCGACGAUCCCUAGCUGGUCUGAGAGGAGGACCAGCAACCGUGGAACCGGGAACCGGUCCAGACUCCUACGGGAGGCAGCAGUGGGGAAUAUUGCACAAUGGGCGCAAGCCUGAUGCAGCCAUGCCGCGUAUGUGAAGAAGGCCUUCGGGUUGUAAAGCACUUUCAGCGGGGAGGCGUUACCCGCAGAAGAAGCACCGGCUAACUCCGUGCCAGCCGCCGCGGUAAUUC
rnacentral:rRNA from 1 species